AAGACACUAAGCAUCGCGGAAUCCAGCACAUCGGAUAGGGCCGGACGCACCGUCCGUGCAGGGCGUCAUGGAGACUGGAUUCGCACAUUUCAUUGAAACCACUGAGGUCGAGUCGGGGGUCACAGCAGUGGUCCUUGUUUCGAUCGCGUUGCAUCAGUU